rnacentral:lncRNA from 1 species
GAAGGUCUCGCUCCUUCUCGGAGCACACCUUGGUCUAAAACUUCAAUAAUUCAUCUUAUAUAUCAUCUUUAGAACUCAUCACAAUGGCCGUCGAGAAAUGUAUCAAGAAGGAGGAUGAAGAUGAAUUUAUGCUAUCUCAUUGAUUUAUCUUUCACGCUCGGCGUAUCUGCGAAGAAAUCAGAAGUUUCAGUGAUUUUCAGGCGACAAUAAAAAUGACAGCGUGGAAAAAAGCUGUAAUAAGAUCGUACGAAAAUUCAUGCAUUAAUUAUUGCCGUGAAGACAGAUGCUGUUCCAAGCUUAGCAUCUUGAUGCGGAUUACGAUGCUAUUUACUCGAUUAAGAGUACGUGUGAAAUUGCCGCGAAGAAGAUAUCAAGUUGGAUGAUACGUUAUUGGUUAUAAUAUGCAAGAUGAUUUCACAUUAUCGCAAAGAAUCUCUCAUACGAUAUAUAUCAUAACAACAUAUUUUAUUAAUACUUUUUGUGCUAAAAAUAUCUUUUGAAUAAAUAUUAAACUACGUGGUUGUAUAUUACCAUGAAAUAAUAAAUUGUGUUCGACAAUACUAUUGGCCAUAAUACAACGUUUCUUUUAAUGGUUAUAUACAGGGUGAUCCAGUAACUAUUAGCACUUUGAAUAUCUUCGAAACUAUGAGUGUCAGAAAAACAUUUGUCCAACAGAAGUUGCAUCGUACAGAAGGGGUCAUCAAAUGGUAGUUACGAAUUUUUUGGAUGGAGUUGCCUUCAAGAUAUGAAGGUCAUUUAUUUGUUUAAAUGGAAUGCUAUGUUUUUAUGUCUACCAUCAGAUAGCGGCUGCUAAAACGAAUACAAUGACCUACAACACAAGGUCAUUCAAAAUCAUUAAGGUCGCUUAUGUUUACAGAAGGUGCCCAAAGUGAUGAUCGUCGGCAAUAUUGUAGUCUUUCUAUCACCGGUUCACAGUCGCACGUCUUAUCACUUCGGAAUUUAUUGAAACACAUGCUGUAAUAAUCCAUUGUCGCAUAUCUGCAAGUGUAGUUGAUGCUUCUUUGUAUACAAUAUUCUUUAUGGUUCCCCAUAAGAAAAAGUCUAAAGCCGUUAGAUCUGGGGAACGAGCCGGCCAUGGUACAGGUCCUCCACGUCCAAUUCAGCGACUUGGGAACCUUUGACAUAACUCAUUUCUGGCAACUGAAAUAAUGCGUCAGGCAUCCAUCGUGUUGAUACCACAUUAUUUAUCGUGUAUCUAAUGGUAAAUCUCCCAGCAAAGGAUCUAACGUUUCUCGAAUAAAUGUACCGUACAUAUUACCAUUUAGAUUUCCUUCAAUGAAAUAAGGACCAAUAAUUUUAUCAGUAAUGAUUCCAUACCAUACAUUUAGCGACCAUUGCCUUUGAUUUUGGACUUGCCAUAGCCAUUUAGGAUUUUCCAUUGACCAGAAAUGUAUGUUAUGUAAAUUAACAUUACCGUGAUUCGUAAAUGUGCUUCGUCCGUAAAUAAUAACAAAUGAAAGAAUAAAUUAUAAUUCUGUAUCUGACGUAGAGUCCAUUGACAAAAUUCUACCUGAUUCAUAAAAUUCAUGUCAUUUAAUUCUUGAUGGAGAUUGAAGUGGUAUGGGUGAUGCUUAUGACGGUAAAGAAUGCGGAAAAUAUUGCUCUUGCUAACGCCAGACUCACGUGCUAUUUGACGUGAACUACUAGGUG